rnacentral:lncRNA from 1 species
ACAGUAAGCCAAGGUUAAUUUAUUAUUGAAGAAAGAAAAAUUUUUUAAAGCCAGGCUCAGUGGUGUGUGCCUAUUGUCUUAACUACUCAGGAGGCUGAGGCAGGAGGAUUGCUUGAGCCUGGGAGUUCAAGUUCAGUCGGGACAACAUAGUGAGACCCCUGUCUCAGAAAAAAAAAAAGAAAGAAAAAUAAAUCUAGUCUACCUAAGAGUACAGUGUUUGUAAGUCUGCAGUGGUAUACAGUAAUGUCCUAGGCCUUCUCAUUCACUCAUUCACCCAGAGCAACUUCCAGUCCUGCAAGCUCCAUUCACGAUAAGUGCCCUAUACAGGUGUGCCAUUUUUAAUGUUUUAUACUGUUUUUUUUUACUGUAUCUUUUAGGUACAGUUGCCUACAGUAUUUAGUACAGUAAUAUGCUGUACAGGUUUGUAGCCCAGGAGCAGUAAGCUGUAUCACAUAGCGUUGGCGUGUAGCAAGCCAUACCAUUUAGGUUGGUGUGAGUACACUGAUACUCCCACAACUAUAAAGUCACCCAAAGGCGCAUUUCUCAGGAUGUAUCCUCAUCAUUAAGCAACCCAUGACUGUAUUUUGAGUUUGAAGUUCCAAUGGUACAUCUAAAUGGAUCUGGAAUGUGGGAGAAUAUUCCUGAACUAAAAAGAAGGAAAUUAGAAGUCAUUUUCGUGGAGGUGAUGAUUAAAGCUUUGUAAAUAGGUGAGAUUGCAAAAAAAAGUCUAGAGGAAGAAUAAAGUUGUAAAGAAACCUUCAAUAAUAAAUGAGGAGGAAACAGAAAUAGUUGAAGAUGUAAAAGAAAACCAAUUUAGGAGGCUGAGGCAGCCAGCUUGCUUGAGCUCAGGAGUUCAAGACUGCCCUGGGCAACAUGGUAAGAUCCUGUCUCUACAAAAAACAGAAAAAUUAGAUGGUUAUGGUGGCAUAUGCCUGUGUCACAGCUACUCGUGAUGCUGAAAUGGGAGGAUUGCUUGAGCCCAGGGACUUGACGCUACAGUGAGCCACGAUUGUGCCACUGCACUCCAGCCUAGACAACAGAGCAAGACCUUGUCUAAAAAAAAAAAAAAAAAAAAAAAAA